rnacentral:rRNA from 1 species
UGAGCAACCUGCCCUUAGCUCUGGGAUAACCCCGGGAAACCGGGGCUAAUACCGGAUAUGAGUCCGAGCGGCAUCACGCGGACUGGAAAGUUUUUUGGCUAAGGAUGGGCUCGCGGCCUAUCAGCUUGUUGGUGAGGUAAUGGCUCACCAAGGCGACGACGGGUAGCCGGCCUGAGAGGGUGACCGGCCACACUGGGACUGAGACACGGCCUAGACUCCUACGGGAGCAGCA